GACGAACGCUGGCGGCGUGCUUAACACAUGCAAGUCGAACGGAGUGGCGAACGGGUGAGUAACACGUGGGUGAUCUGCCUUGCACUUUGGGAUAAGCUUGGGAAACUGGGUCUAAUACCGGAUAGUGCAAGAUGAGCACGCGGCCUAUCAGCUUGUUGGUGGGGUAAUGGCCUACCAAGGCGUCGACGGGUAGCCGGCCUGAGAGGGUGUACGGCCACAGUGGGGCUGAGAUACGGCCCAGGCUCCGACGGGUGGCAGCAGGGGGGAAUAUUGCGAAAAGGGCGGAAGCCUGAUGCAGCGACGCGGGGGGGGGGAGGAAGGCUUUCGGGUUGUAAACUCGUUACGACAGGGACACGGUACCUGUAUAAGAAGCACCGGCUAACUACGUGCCAGCAGCCGCGGUAAUAC
rnacentral:rRNA from 1 species